GCAACGAAUCUUCCGCAAUGCACGAAAGUGUGACGGAGCAAUGCCGCGUGCGGGAUGAAGCGGCUCUGCCGUGUAAACCGCUGUCAGGACCUAGGAAUAUUGACCGGGUCCAGAGGAAGGGCCGGCUAAUCUCGUGCCAGCAGCCGCGGUAAUACGAGAGGCCCGAGCGUUAUUCGGAAUCACUGGGCUUAAAGGGUGCGUAGGCGGCCAUGUAGGCGUCCUGUGAAAUACCACGGCUCAACCGUGGAAUUGCGGGGCGAACCACAUGGCUUGAACCUGGUAGGGGCUGUCGGAACGAUCGGUGGAGCGGUGAAAUGCGUAGAUAUCGAUCGGAACGCCGAAGGUGAAGACGGGCAGCUGGGCCAAGGUUGACGCUGAGGCACGAAAGCGUGGGGAUCAAACAGGAUUAGAAACCCUAGUAGUCC
rnacentral:rRNA from 1 species